GGAUGUGAAUCAAUCUGGCAACAUCUGUGACCCCAUUGAUCGCCAGGGUUGAUUCGGCUCAAAUGGCUGGCUAGGCUGGUGUCCCCUUCCUCCCUCACUGCUCUACGUGCAUCCCUCCCGAAGCUGCGCGCUCGGUUGAAGAGGACGACCAUCCCCGAUAGAGGAGGACCUUUCUUCGGUCAAGGGAAUAUGAGUAGCUGCGCCCCCCUGCUCGAACCUCCAAACAAGCUCUCAAGAACAUUGAUUCACACUCUGGCAAUCCCAGCACUCAGAAGACAGAGACAGAAGGAUGGAAAGUUUGAGGCCAGGCUGGACUCUCU
rnacentral:snRNA from 1 species